GGCGACGGGUGAGUAAUGCAUAGGAAUCUGCCCAGUAGCGGGGGACAACUUGGGGAAACUUAAGCUAAUACCGCAUACGCCCUACGGGGGAAAGCGGGGGACCUUCGGGCCUCGCACUAUUGGAUGAGCCUAUGUCUGAUUAGCUUGUUGGUGGGGUAAUGGCCUACCAAGGCAACGAUCAGUAGCCGGUCUGAGAGGACGAUCAGCCACACUGGGACUGAGACACGGCCCAG
rnacentral:rRNA from 1 species